CACAAAUGUAGGAGAAAAUGAGGAAGUGAAAGUCUGAAAAGUGGAAGUUAGGGGGUGUCAGUAACAGUGGCUAAUCAGUCAGUCUCGUAUACUAGUGUGAGUGGACAGGACAGAGCCAAUGUGGACAGCAAAAGGGGCAGUUCUGAAGGAUCUGUGGAAAUUGCUGUCCUGGAAGAAGCUGUUGCCGCUACAGAGGUGUCCUGGACUCCAGCUGUGUUCAGCCUUCAUCAGAGGAGACACCAUUUAUGUUUCUUCUCCUCAGAGGCCGUAAGUCUUAUUUCUUUUUUUUCUUAUUCCUAACAUUUAUUUACUGGUCUCUGCUACUCCAGCCAGUUCAUGCUCUACCUAACAUGAGAACAAUCCAAACACAUCCAUAACCUUAUCCAAUACCCGUUCGCAAUCAUUCAGUGUUUCCCAUUGUCCAAACCUAUUAGUCAGGCUUUCAGUGCCUUCUACUUUCAGGCCACACUUAUUUUAGAGAAAAAUUUUUCCUGUAACUUCCUUUAUAUCUAUCUCAAAUCAAACAGAUUACUUAUUAUUCUUUGUUCUAUAUUCCAUUAGGAAAGGCUCCUAUGCCUUCGUUCAUUCUAAGCCUCUAAUGAGCUUUCCCUCUGCCUUCUCUGAAUCCAAAUUCUACCCAAGCUCAAAGACUCCAUUAUUAUUUCAACUCUUUUCUUGAAUCAUUCUUGAUCUCCAAAACUAAAAGACUUGUUCUCCUUUCUUUGAAGGCUCAAAUCCAAAUCACUUUAUCUGUAACUGUCUUACAACACUUAUAAAUUUGGGUAAAACAUAAUUCAUGUAGAGUAUAAUAAAAUUCUAAUCAUUUGUACAAGUUCAUUUACAUUUCUAGACUAAAUUUUUCUUUAUGAUUAGGUAAACGGCUUAUUCCUUAUUAUAUUUAUGAUAUUUGCAGUUUUCAUUGGAGGGGGGCAUUAUUUGUUGAAUGGAUAAUUAAUUAAAUAUUGAGUGAAUGAAUGAGUGAAUAAGUUAUCUAUAGAUGAAUGUUUAGGCACUCCCUUUCUGCCCUGUCUUCCUUAAUGUCACAGUCAGUGUACAGUAGAGUGCUACUUUUAAUAAAAUGAUCAGAUUGUUGACAAUUUCAACUAUUUAAAUACAGCAAAAAAAAAAAAAGCAAAAAACAAAAAACCUGAAAUUAAGUGAAAAAUUCCUCUGAGCAGCAAGACAAAUAGCAAUCACAAAGCUUAUUUAAAUUGGUGUCUACCCUUAAGGUAGCUGGAGCUUAUUUGGUAUUAGGUGUUUACUUGGGUUACUGUUUUAAUGAACUUAGUUAUUUAGUUGCCAUAGAAACUAACGGCAAUAAGAAGGGGCCAUGAGUGAAAAGAAAGCAUAAAAACAAAUCACAUUAGCCUGGAGAGCAUUGCUGUUGUAGUGUUAACAGCUCUGAAAAAAUAAUUCAAUAACGUUUAUCAAAUACAGUUUAUCAGAGAUUUGUGUUUUCAUGAAGAUAGAAACAUUUCUAUCAAAAAUGGCCCACAAAAGUUGUUAGUUUUUUAAAGGGAUCAGCGUCAGUUACCUAGACCUGACAAUUACAAUAUCUUACUGUAAAGCAUUUUGUUGUCUUCAAAUGACCUCAAUAUAAAAAUCAUGAAUAGCAAAUAUUAUUUUCAGUUCAAUAAAGUAAGAAGAGAGGCUCAAAGAGAUUGUGUAACUUCAUUAAAAAGUCAUUAAUUAGGCUGGGUGUGGUGGCUUAUGCCUGUAGUCUAUCACUUUGGGAAGCUGAGGGGGGCAGAUCAUCUGAGUUAGGAGUUUGAGACCAGCCUGGCCAACAUGAUGAGCCCCCAUCUCUACUAAAACUACAAAAAAAUUAGCCUGGGCAUGGUGGCAGUCACCUGUAAUCCCAGGUACUUGGGAGGCUGAGUCAGGAGAAUCGCUUGUACCUGAGAGGCAGAGGUUGCAGUAAGCUGAGACCGCCCCAUUUCACUCCAGCCUGGGCAAAAAGAGCAAAACUCCUUCUCAAAAAAGAAAAAAAAGUCAUAAAUUAGCUAUGUGACAGCUAAGAUUUAAAUACGUAAAUUCUAUACCCCAAUUUUUAAAUUUAUUUUGUAUUAUAAUAGCAUUUAAUUAGCACUAAUAUGAAAAUAUUACUUCUCAAUGCUUUUGAAAAAAAGUGAUAUAAUUCUUCUU
ensembl:lncRNA